rnacentral:rRNA from 1 species
AGGGCACUACCAGGAGUGGAUCCUGCGGCUCAAUUUGACUCAACACGGGAAAGCUCACCUGGUCCGGACACUGGAAGGAUUGACAGAUUAAGAGCUCUUUCUUGAUUCAGUGGGUGGUGGUGCAUGGCCGUUCUUAGUUGGUGGAGCGAUUUGUCUGGUUAAUUCCGGUAACGAACGAGACUCUAGCCUACUAAAUAGGUGUUCCGAUCCCAUCAGUCGGACGCUCUUCUUAGAGGGACAAGCGGCGUUUAGCCGCACGAGACAGAGCAAUAACAGGUCUGUGAUGCCCUUAGAUGUCCGGGGCCGCACGCGCGCUACACUGAAGGAACCAGCGUGUGUCCCUGUCCGGCAGGACUGGGUAAUCCGUUGAACCUCCUUCGUGAUAGGGAUAGGGGCUUGUAAUUGUUCCCCUUGAACGAGGAAUUCCCAGUAAGCGUGAAUCAUCAGUUCACGUUGAUUACGUCCCUGGCCUUUGUACACACCGCCCGUCGCUACUACUGAUUGGAUAAAUUAGUGAGG